AGAGUGAACGCUGGCGGUAGGCCUAACACAUGCAAGUCGAACGGCAGCACAGUGGUAGCAAUACCAUGGGUGGCGAGUGGCGGACGGGUGAGGAAUACAUCGGAAUCUACCUUUUCGUGGGGGAUAACGUAGGGAAACUUACGCUAAUACCGCAUACGCCCUUUGGGGGAAAGCCGGGGAUCGCAAGACCUGGCGCGGAUAGAUGAGCCGAUGUCGGAUUAGCUAGUUGGUGAGGUAAUGGCUCACCAAGGCGACGAUCCGUAGCUGGUCUGAGAGGAUGAUCAGCCACACUGGAACUGAGACACGGUCCAGACUCCUACGGGAGGCAGCAGUGGGGAAUAUUGGACAAUGGGCGCAAGCCUGAUCCAGCCAUACCGCGUGGGUGAAGAAGGCCUUCGGUUGUAAAGUCCCUUUUGUUAGGGAAAGAAAGCAAUCGGUUAAUACCCGGUUGUUCUGACGGUACCCAAAGAAUAAGCACGCUAACUUCGUGCCAGCAGCCGACGGUAAU
rnacentral:rRNA from 1 species